rnacentral:rRNA from 1 species
UACGGAGGGUGCGAGCGUUGUCCGGAAUCACUGGGCGUAAAGGGCGCGUAGGCGGCCUGAUAAGUAGGGGGGUGAAAUCCUGCGGCUUAACCGCAGGGCUGCCUUCUAAACUGUCAGGCUCGAGCACAGUAGAGGCAGGUGGAAUUCCCGGUGUAGCGGUGGAAUGCGUAGAGAUCGGGAAGAACAUCAGUGGCGAAGGCGGCCUGCUGGGCUGUUGCUGACGCUGAGGCGCGACAGCGUGGGGGAGCAAACAGGG